ensembl:lncRNA
AUGGAUGAAUGGAUGAACAGGCAAGCAAAUGACACAUGCAUGCCUACCUUCAACUGCUGUGAACACAUUGUGCUAGUAUUGUGUGGAAUCCAAGGAAAAAUAUACGAGGGAAGCUCUCCUAAAGUUGCCUUAGAAGGUGCUACAGCAAUGCAUUGUAAGGGAUGCGUUUAAUGGUUCCUGAAUGAUACACCUUACAGGAAGAAGCUGCCCCUUUCUCAAUAAUACAGUCUUAUAAUAGUCUUUGUAAAUUAGAAGAAAUAGUUUUAAAAGGCAGAACUCUGUAGGUAAAGAAAAUUGAGUGGUCUAAAUGCUUCACUACUCCAUACAUGGGUAUAGUGGAAACAUUUCACUGCCUGCUAGCCCACUGCCACCACCGCUGGCUUCUCAGUUUUAGUCUUCGAGGCUCACCUGAACUUGGCACGCUCUGUGUUAGAUUACUCAACCUGUCUGCCCCACAGAAACUCACCUCCCUAACUGCUGCGUGCUGCUUUCUCUUUUCGAGAGUUGGACUACACCCAAAGCCACUGUCAAAUGUCAUGGGGAUGAGACUUCACGAGACACAAAACUCACAUGGCUUCGCAACACUUCAGAUAACUUAUUACUAAGUUAAAAAGGAAUGGAAAUACUCCUUCAGGCUUCUCCAGUUUCACCGUGUGCUGCCAGGUCAACAUUCUCAACACAGCUAAGCAGGGACAGAUGGUGCCCAUUCCCUCAGUGACAGAAUCAUCCAGCAAUGUCAACAGCAUUUACAUCCUUGAGAGAGAGAUGCCUUAUGACUAAAAGUUUCUCACCAUGUGUACUCCAGAAUGCAGAAAUGAAAGUCUUAUAACAACUCAUAGCCAAUUAUGUUCAAAUUUAAUUACAUGAAUCAUUUAGAAAUAAACUCAGUUACUUUGUUUUAUCAUUGUUUCCAAAGACUCUUUCUGGAAGGACAUUAGGACACUUGACAUAAAGGUACCUAUAAUAAUGAUUAUGCAAUAUUCAAAAUUGGACAGUGUUCAUUUUCAGAAUGUUCAUUGAUGGUAUACAUAAAUACAAUUGAUUUUUAUAUAUAGGUCUUUUAUUCUGCAACUUUGUUGAAGCUAUUUAUUAGCUCUUAUAGUUACCCUUGUGUGUGUUCACUAUGAUUCUCUAUCUACAAGACUAUUUUAUCUGCAAGUGAAGAUCAUUUUACUUCUUUUCCAAUUUGGUAGACUUUUAUUUCUUUUUCUGGCCUAGUUAUCCUGGCUAGAACCUCAAACAUAAUGUUGAUAGAAGUUGUGACAUCAGCCAUUCUUGUCUUUUCCCUUAUCUGUAGGGGGAAGUAUUCAGUCUUUCACCAUUAAAUGUAAUAUUAGCUGUGGGUUUUUUAAAAUUUAUUUUCUAGACGCUCUUUAUGAGGGUGAUGAAGUUUCCUCUUGUUCUUAUGUUGUUUAGUGUUUUUAUCAUGGAAGGCUGUUGAAUUUCAUCGUGUAAUCUUGUAGCUAUUGAGAUAAUCAAGCAUGUUCCUUUGUCCUUUAUUCUAUUGAUAUGGCAUAUUAUAUUAAUUAUAUAUUACAUGAUUAUAUAUAAUGUAAUUAUAUAUAUAAUAUAUAUAUUAUAUUAAUUGACUUUUGGAUAUAAAAACAACCUUUCAUUCCCUGGAUAUUGCUUUUUUUUUUUUUUUCAUUUGCCAGUUUUUGUUGAGGGUGUUUUGGUCUAUGUUCAUAGAAGAUGUUGGCCUGUAAUUUUCUUUUCUUGUAAUAUCUUCGGUUUUGUUAUCAAGGUAAUACUGACUACAUUAAAUAACUUGGUAAGUGUUCUCUCCUCUUAUUUUUUGGAAGAGUUUGUGAAGAAUUGGAAUGAAUUCUUUAAAUAUUUGGUAGAAUUCACUGGCAAAGCCAUUCAGACCUGGAGUUUUCUUUUUAAGUAGUUUUUAAAUUACUAUUUCAGUCUCUUUGCUGAUUAUAAGUCUAUUCAGAUUUUGUUUCUUCUUGAGUGACAUUUUGUAGUUUGUAUCUUUUAAAUAAUUUUUCACAUUUCAUCUAAAUAAUUUGUUGUCAUAUGGCUACCUUUAGUAUUCCCUUAAAAAACCUUAUGUAAAACCAGUAGUAAUGUCCUUUUUCUUAUUUUUGAUUUUAGUAAUUUGAGUUUUUUUUCUUUUUCUCUGGUCAAUCCAGCUAGAGUUUUCUCAAUUUUACUGAUCUUUUCAAGAAACAAAUCUUUGGUUUUAUUGAUUUUCUAUUUUUCCCUUUCUUUCUCUUUCUUUUCUUUCUUUCUUUCUUUCUUUCUUUCUUUCUUUCUUUCUUUCUUUCUUUCUUUCUUUCUAUCUAUCUAUCUUUCUUUCCUUCUUUUUCUUUCUUUCUUUCCUUCUUUUUCUUUCUUUCUUUCUUUCUUUCUUCCUAGUGCCACACCCAUGAUAUAUGGAGGUUCCCAGGCUAGGGGCUGAAUCAGAGCUGUAGCCGCUGGCCUACACCACAUCUAUAGCAACAUAGGAUCUGAGCAGCAUCUGCGACCUACAGUACAGUUCACUGUAAUGCUGGAUCCUUAACCCAAUGAACAAGUCCAGGUAUCAGACCUGCGUCCUCUUGGAUGCUAGUCAGAUUUGUUUCUGCUAAGCCACAAAGGGAACUCCUAUACUCCAAUAAUUUCUAUUCAAAUAUUAUCAUUUCCUUUCAUUUGCUCUGAAUUUAAACUUCUUUUUUCAGUAUCUUAACAUGGAAGAUUACAUUACUGACCUGAAAUCUUUCUUCUUUUUUGAUAUGGGUGUUUGCACUGUAAAUUUCCUCCAAGUUAAACCUCAUAAGGUUUUGUAUGUUAUAUAUUCAUUUAUAUGCAUCUCAAAAUAUUUAUUUUCUAAUUUGACUCAUUCCUUAUUUAGUACUAUGUUGUUUAAUUUGUGUAUUCCUAUAAAUAUGUAUAGAUGAGUUUUGAGUUUUGAGAGGAUUGAUUUCUUAAUAUCUUUCCAGUUCAUUAAAAUGGUAUAUCUCUCCAUUUAUUUAUGUCUCCUUUGAUUUCUUCCAUCAGUGUUUUAUAGUUUUUGACAGAUAUUAUACAUGUUUUAUGUUUAUGUCAAAUAUUUCAUAUUUCCAGAGCUAUUGUGAGAUGUAUUUUUAUUUCAAUAUUUAAUUAUUCAUCACUAGUAUAUAAACUUGUGAUUGAUUUUUGGAUAUUUAUCUUAUAUCCUGAAACUUUUCUAAAUUAGUCAUUAUAGUAGCUUUUUAAAGAUUAGUUGGGAAUUUUUAUACAGACAAUCCUGGUAUCUGAAAAAAGAGUCUUUUAUUUCUUCCUCUCACUUUUGGAUGCUUUUUUAAAUUUUUCUUAUUGCACUAAGACCUCCAAUAAAAUUUUGAAUAAAAGCUGUGUAAGUAGAUAUUUUUACUUUGUUCUAUACCUUAGGGAGAAAACAUUCAGUCUCUCACUAAGUAUAAUGUUGGUUAUAUAUUAUUUUCUAGAUAGCCUUUAUCACGUUGAUUAAGUUUCUUUCCAUUACUAUUUUGUAGAGAGUUUAUGUAAUGAACAGAUGGUGAAUUUUGUGAAAGACUUUUUUUUACAUCUAUUGAUAUGAUUUUAUGAUUUCCAUCUUUAGGCUAUAGAUAUGAGUUUUGCUUGAUUUUUGGAUGUUGAACCAAUCUUGUAUUUUUGAGAUACUGCUUCACUUGGUCA